AAGCAGGGACUAGGCCCCUGAGAGGCGUAAGGGAGACCAGUCUCAUCUGUUUCUAAAUGGAAGGAGUCCCAGCCCCUCUUUCUACAGACCAGGCUCAAGAACCUGUUAUUUUAACCAGUCUUCAUACAGCAUGGUCCUGAGGCACUUCACCAUCAAUGGUAUCAAUAAGAAUUAAGUGGUGUAGUGGAUAGAGCACCUGGUGUGGAGUCAGGAAGACCUGAGUUCAAAUCCAACUUCAGACACUUACUAGCUGUGGAUAUGUUUUUGUACAUUUUAAAAACAAUUGUCUUUUAAAGUUUUGAGUUCCAAAUUUUUUUUCCUCCUGAUCCUUCCCCUUUCUUGAAAAGACAAGCAAUUUCAUUAUCAAUCCUGCAUGUAAAGUCAUGCAAAACACAUUUCCAUAUUAGCCAUGUUGCAAAAGAAAAUGAGACCAAAAAAAAAAAAACCCAAGAAAAAAGUAAGUUUAAAAAGUAUGCUUCAUGGGGCAGCUAGUUGGUGUAGUGAAUAGAGCACCAGCCCUGAAGUCAGGAGGACCUAACUUCAUAUUUGGCCUCAAACAUGUAACACUUCCUGGCUGUAUGACCUGGGCAAGUCACUUAACCCCAAUUGCCUCAGCCAAAACUAACUAAAUAAAUAAAAAUUAAAAAGU